UACGUAGGCAGCAAGCGUUGUUCGGAAUUACUGGGCGUAAAGAGUGUGUAGGCGGUGCUCUAAGUCUGUUGUGAAAUCUCCCGGCUUAACUGGGAGGGUGCAGCGGAAACUGGAAUGCUCGAGUAUGGGAGAGGUAAGCGGAAUUCCUGGUGUAGCGGUGAAAUGCGUAGAUAUCAGGAGGAACACCGGUGGCGAAGGCGGGUCUCUGGGCCGAUACUGACGCUGAGGAGCGAAAGCAUGGGUAGCGAACAGG
rnacentral:rRNA from 1 species